rnacentral:rRNA from 1 species
UACAGAGGGUGCGAGCGUUGUUCGGAAUUAUUGGGCGUAAAGGGCGCGUAGGCGGUGCGGUAAGUCACCUGUGAAAUCUCCUGGCUCAACUGGGAGCUUGCAGGCGAAACUGCCGUGCUGGAGUGUGGGAGAGGUGAGUGGAAUUCCCGGUGUAGCGGUGAAAUGCGUAGAUAUCGGAAGGAGCACCAGUGGCGAAAGCGGCUUCCUGGUCCAGCACCGACGUUCAGGCACGAAAGCGUGGGGAGCAAACAGG